rnacentral:misc_RNA from 1 species
CAGCCGCGUAAUUCCAGCUCCAAUAGCGUAUAUUAAAGUUGUUGCAGUUAAAAAGCUCGUAGUUGAAUUUCGGGGUUAGUAGGUUGGUCAUGCCUCUGGUAUGUACUGGUCUCACUGAUUCCUCCUUCCUGAUGAGCCGUAAUGCCAUUAAUUUGGUGUUGCGGGGAAUUUGGACUGUUACUUUGAAAAAAUUAGAGUGUUUAAAGCAAGCUAACGCUUGAAUACAUUAGCAUGGAAUAAUGAAAUAGGACGUUCGAUCCUAUUUUGUUGGUUUCUAGGAUUGACGUAAUGAUUAAUAGGGAUAGUUGGGGGCAUUAGUAUUCAAUUGUCAGAGGUGAAAUUCUUGGAUUUAUUGAAGACUAACUACUGCGAAAGCAUUUGCCAAGGAUGUUUUCAUUAAUCAAGAACGAAAGUUAGGGGAUCGAAGACGAUCAGAUACCGUCGUAGUCUUAACCAUAAACUAUGCCGACUAGGGAUCGGAUGAUGUUAAUUUUUUAAUGACUCAUUCGGCGCCUUACG